GACGAACGCUGGCGGCGUGCUUAACACAUGCAAGUCGAACGGAAAGGCCCUGCUUGCAGGGUACUCGAGUGACGAACGGGUGAGUAACACGUGGGUGAUCUGCCCUGCACUUCGGGAUAAGCCUGGGAAACUGGGUCUAAUACCGGAUAGGAGCCAUUUUUAGUGUGAUGGUUGGAAAGUUUUUUCGGUGUAGGAUGAGCUCGCGGCCUAUCAGCUUGUUGGUGGGGUAAUGGCCUACCAAGGCGGCGACGGGUAGCCGGCCUGAGAGGGUGGACGGCCACAUUGGGACUGAGAUACGGCCCAGACUCCUACGGGAGGCAGCAGUGGGGAAUAUUGCACAAGGGGCGCAAGCCUGAUGCAGCGACGCCGCGUGGGGGAUGACGGCCUUCGGGUUGUAAACUCCUUUCGCUAGGGACGAAGCUUUUUGUGACGGUACCUAGAGAAGAAGCACCGGCUAACUACGUG
rnacentral:rRNA from 1 species